rnacentral:rRNA from 1 species
AGAGUUUGAUCCUGGCUCAGAACGAACGCUGGCGGCGUGGAUUAGGCAUGCAAGUCGAACGCGAAAGUGGGGGUAACUCCACGAGUAGAGUGGCGAACGGGUGAGUAACGCGUGAGAAACCUGCCUUCAUCAGGGGGAUAACACUCCCAACGGGGUGCUAAUACCGCAUGAGACCACGGGAUCGCAUGGUCCUGAGGUCAAAGGUGGCCUCUAUUUAUAAGCUACCGGAUGAAGAUGGUCUCGCGUCCCAUUAGCUAGUUGGCGGGGUAACGGCCCACCAAGGCGACGAUGGGUAGCUGGUCUGAGAGGAUGGUCAGCCACACUGGGACUGAGAUACGGCCCAGACUCCUACGGGAGGCAGCAGUCGAGAGGCUUCGGCAAUGGGGGAAACCCUGACCGAGCGACGCCGCGUGGGGGAUGAAGGCCCUUGGGUUGUAAACCCCUUUUAUUCGGGAAGAAAUGUGAUCAGGUGAAUAAUCUGGUCAUUUGACGGUACCGGAUGAAUAAGCUCCGGCUAACUCCGUGCCAGCAGCCGCGGUAACACGGGGGGAGCAAGCGUUGUUCGGAAUCACUGGGCGUAAAGGGCGUGUAGGCGGUCAAGUAAGUGGGAUGUGAAAUGCCCCGGCUCACCCGGGGACCGGCAUCUCAUACUGCUUGGCUUGAGUACGGGAGAGGAUGUGGGAAUUCCUGGUGUAGCGGUGAAAUGCGUAGAUAUCAGGAGGAACACCGGUGGCGAAGGCGCACAUCUGGCCCGAUACUGACGCUGAGGCGCGAAAGCUAGGGGAGCAAACGGGAUUAGAUACCCCGGUAGUCCUAGCCGUAAACGGUGAUCACUAGGUGUUGGAGGCAUUGACCCCUCCAGUGCCGCAGCUAACGCAUUAAGUGAUCCGCCUGGGGAGUACGGCCGCAAGGUUGAAACUCAAAGGAAUUGACGG